rnacentral:rRNA from 1 species
AGAGUUUGAUCAUGGCUCAGGAUUAACGUUGGCGGUAGGCCUAAUAUAUGCAAGUCAUACGUGAAUUUUUAAUUCUAGUGGCGAACGGGUGAGUAAUGUAUAUCUAACGUGCCUAAGAGAGGGGGAUAACUGGAAGAAAUUUCAGCUAAUACCCCAUAAGAUAUUGAAUGGUAUCAUUUAAUGUUUAAAGUAGCGUUUGCUGCACUCUUAGAUCGGGAUAUAUUGUAUUAGCUAGUUGGUGGGGUAAUAGCCCACCAAGGCCAUGAUGCAUAGCCGGGUUGAGAGACUGAUCGGCCACACUGGGACUGAGACACGGCCCAGACUUCUACGGAAGGCAGCAAUAGGGAAUCUUCCACAAUGGGCGCAAGCCUGAUGGAGCCAUACCGCGUGUGAGAUGAAGAACAAUAGUUUGUAAAUCACUGUUGUAGGGGAUGAAAAAUCAAAAUAGGAAAUGAUUUUGAAAUUGACAGUACCCUACCAGAAAGUCCUGUCUAACUACGUGCCAGCAGACGCGGUAAUACGUAGAGGGCGAACGUUAUCCGGAUUUAUUGGGCGUAAAGGGAGUCUAGCCGGUUCAGUAAGUUUGUGUUUAAAACUUGGAGCUCAACUCCAUUUCGGUACAAAAACUGCUGAACUAGAAUAACAGAGAGAUCAGUGGAAUUUCAUGUGUAGCGGUGGAAUGCGUAGAUAUAUGAAGGAACACCAGUAGCGAAGGCGGCUGAUUAGAUGAUUAUUGACGGUAAAGCUCGAAAGCGUGGGGAGCAAAUAGGAUUAGAUACCCUAGUAGUCCACGCCGUAAACGUUCUUCACUAGGGUAUUGGGGUUACUCCGUGCCGCAGCUAACGCAUUAAGUGAAGCGCCUGGGGAGUACGCGCGCAAGCGUAAAACUCAAAGGAAUUGACGGGGACCCGCACAAGCGGUGGAGCAUGUGGUUUAAUUCGAUGAUACGCGAAGAACCUUACCUAAAUUUGACAUCCUUUGCAAAGCUAUGGAAACAUAGUGGAGGCUAUCAAAGUGACAGGUGGUGCAUGGUCGUCGUCAGCUCGUGUCGUGAGAUGUUUGGUUAAGUCCUAUAACGAGCGCAACCCAUAUCCUUAGUUACUAACAUUUAGUUGGGCACUCUAGGGAGACUGCCCGGGUAACCGGGAGGAAGGUGUGGAUGACGUCAGAUCAUCAUGCCCCUUAUAUUUAGGGCUACACACGUGCUACAAUGGCGGAUACAAAGGGUUGCUACCCAGUGAUGGCAAGCUAAUCCCAAAAAGUCCGUCCCAGUUCGGAUUGAAGUCUGCAACUYGACUUCAUGAAGUUGGAAUCGCUAGUAAUCUCAAGUCAGCCAUAUUGAGGUGAAUACGUUCCCGGGUCUUGUACACACCGCCCGUCAAACCACGAAAGUCGAUAACACCCCAAGUCAGUGCCCUAACCCUCGGGAAGGAGCAU